rnacentral:rRNA from 1 species
UACGGAGGGUGCAAGCGUUAUCCGGAUUCACUGGGUUUAAAGGGUGCGUAGGUGGGCAAGUAAGUCAGUGGUGAAAUCUCCGGGCUUAACCCGGAAACUGCCAUUGAUACUAUUUGUCUUGAAUACUGUGGAGGUCAGCGGAAUAUGUCAUGUAGCGGUGAAAUGCUUAGAUAUGACAUAGAACACCAAUUGCGAAGGCAGCUCGCUACACGAAUAUUGACUCUGAGGCACGAAAGCGUGGGGAUCAAACAGG